rnacentral:rRNA from 1 species
GAGUUUGAUCCUGGCUCAGGACGAACGCUGGCGGCGUGCCUAAUACAUGCAAGUCGAGCGCGGGAAGCGAGUGGAUCCCUUCGGGGUGAAGCUCGUGGAACGAGCGGCGGACGGGUGAGUAACACGUGGGCAACCUGCCUGUAAGAUCGGAAUAACCCCGGGAAACCGGGGCUAAUGCCGGGUAAUACUUUCUUUCGCAUGAAGGAAAGUUGAAAGAUGGCUUCUCGCUAUCACUUACAGAUGGGCCCGCGGCGCAUUAGCUAGUUGGUGAGGUAACGGCUCACCAAGGCGACGAUGCGUAGCCGACCUGAGAGGGUGAUCGGCCACACUGGGACUGAGACACGGCCCAGACUCCUACGGGAGGCAGCAGUAGGGAAUCUUCCGCAAUGGACGAAAGUCUGACGGAGCAACGCCGCGUGAACGAUGAAGGUCUUCGGAUCGUAAAGUUCUGUUGUUAGGGAAGAACAAGUACCGUGCGAAUAGAGCGGUACCUUGACGGUACCUAACGAGGAAGCCACGGCUAACUACGUGCCAGCAGCCGCGGUAAUACGUAGGUGGCAAGCGUUGUCCGGAAUUAUUGGGCGUAAAGCGCGCGCAGGCGGUUUCUUAAGUCUGAUGUGAAAGCCCCCGGCUCAACCGGGGAGGGUCAUUGGAAACUGGGGAACUUGAGUGCAGAAGAGGAGAGUGGAAUUCCACGUGUAGCGGUGAAAUGCGUAGAGAUGUGGAGGAACACCAGUGGCGAAGGCGACUCUCUGGUCUGUAACUGACGCUGAGGCGCGAAAGCGUGGGGAGCGAACAGGAUUAGAUACCCUGGUAGUCCACGCCGUAAACGAUGAGUGCUAAGUGUUAGAGGGUUUCCGCCCUUUAGUGCUGCAGCAAACGCAUUAAGCACUCCGCCUGGGGAGUCCCGUCGCGGCAAAAAAUUUAAAACUCAAAGGAAUUGACGGGGGGGCCCUCACAAGCGGUGGAUAAUGUGAUUAUCUUCGAAGACGCGAAGAACUUUUCCAGGUCUUGACAGCUAUUGACAACCCUAGAGAUGGGCUUCCCCUUCGGGGGCAGAGUGACAGGUGGUGCAUGGUUGUCGUCAGCUCGUGUCGUGAGAUGUUGGGUUAAGUCCCGCAACGAGCGCAACCCUUGAUUUUAGUUGCCAGCAUUCAGUUGGGCACUCUAAGGUGACUGCCGGUGACAAACCGGAGGAAGGUGGGGAUGACGUCAAAUCAUCAUGCCCCUUAUGACCUGGGCUACACACGUGCUACAAUGGGCAGAACAAAGGGCAGCGAAGCCGCGAGGCUAAGCCAAUCCCACAAAUCUGUUCUCAGUUCGGAUCGCAGUCUGCAACUCGACUGCGUGAAGCUGGAAUCGCUAGUAAUCGCGGAUCAGCAUGCCGCGGUGAAUACGUUCCCGGGCCUUGUACACACCGCCCGUCACACCACGAGAGUUUGUAACACCCGAAGUCGGUGAGGUAACCUUUUGGAGCCAGCCGCCG